rnacentral:rRNA from 1 species
GGAAUAUUGGUCAAUGGAGGCAACUCUGAACCAGCCAUGCCGCGUGCAGGAAGACGGCCUUCUGGGUUGUAAACUGCUUUUGUCAGGGGAUAAAAUUUCCUUGCGAGGAAAAUUGAAGGUACCUGGCGAAUAAGCCACGGCUAACUACGUGCCCGCAGCCGCGGUAAUACGUAGGUGGCAAGCGUUGUCCGGAUUUAUUGGGUUUAAAGGGUGCGUAGGCGGCCUGUUAAGUCAGUAGUGAAAUAUCACAGCUCAACUGUGAGGGUGCUAUUGAUACUGAUGGGCUUGAGUACAGAUGAGGUAGGCGGAAUUGACGGUGUAGCGGUGAAAUGCAUAGAUAUCGUCAAGAACACCGAUAGCGAAGGCAGCUUACUAAGUUGUAACUGACGCUGAUGCACGAAAGUGUGGGGAUCAAAC